rnacentral:rRNA from 1 species
CUACGUGCCAGCAGCCGCGGUAAUACGUAGGGGGCAAGCGUUAUCCGGAUUUACUGGGUGUAAAGGGAGCGCAGGCGGUUUGGCAAGUUGAGAGUGGAAGCAGGGGGCUCAACCCCCUGACUGCUCCCAAAACUGUUAAACUUGAGUAUGGGAGAGGCAGGCGGAAUUCCUAGUGUAGCGGUGAAAUGCUUAGAUAUUAGGAAGAACACCGGUGGCGAAGGCGGCCUGCUGGACCAAAACUGACGCUGAGGCUCGAAAGCGUGGGUAGCAAACAGGAUUAGAUACCCUGGUAGUCCACGCUGUAAACGAUGAAUACUAGGUGCUGGGAGGCAUAAGCCUUUCGGUGCCGUCGCAAACGCAUUAAGUAUUCCACCUGGGGAGUACGUUCGCAAGAAUGAAACUCAAAGGAAUUGACGGGGACCCGCACAAGCGGUGGAGCAUGUGGUUUAAUUCGACGCAACGCGAAGAACCUUACCCGGUCUUGAGAUCC